rnacentral:rRNA from 1 species
CACGUAGGGUGCGAGCGUUGUCCGGAAUUAUUGGGCGUAAAGAGCUCGUAGGCGGUUCGGUAAGUCGGAUGUGAAAUCUCCACGCUCAACGUGGAGGGGCCAUUCGAUACUGCCGUGACUCGAGUCCGGUAGGGGAGUGUGGAAUUCCCGGUGUAGCGGUGAAAUGCGCAGAGAUCGGGAGGAACACCCGUAGCGAAGGCGGCACUCUGGGCCGGUACUGACGCUGAGGAGCGAAAGCGUGGGGAGCGAACAGG